UCUGGUGUAGUAUUCUCUUUCUGGAAGUUGCUGUCAAAGAUUCUGACAGACUCAACUUCCUUGGUGCCGACAAGAACUUGUAAGUGAAACUGGUGUAGCUUAAGCCUUCACCAAAUCCAUAGACUUGAUAUCCAGUGUAAAAACGGUAGGUUCUUCCAGGAUAACCACGAAAAGGAUCAGCUCGCAUAUUCAUAUCAGUCAUUGGUAUCUUGGUGAAAGACUCAGGAUACCAAG
rnacentral:misc_RNA from 1 species